UACCAGCUCUCCGAGUGGUGUGGAUGUUUAUUGGGCCUAAAGCAUCCGUAGCUGGCUGGACAAGUCCCCUGUUAAAUCCACCGAUUUAAUCGUUGGUGUGCGGGGGAUACUGUUCGGCUAGGGGACGGGAGAGGCCGACGGUAUUUCCGGGGUAGGGGUGAAAUCCUAUAAUCCCGGGAAGACCACCAGUGGCGAAGGCUGUCGGCUAGAACGCGCCCGACGGUGAGGGAUGAAAGCUGGGGGAGCGAACCGGAUUAGAUACCCGGGUAGUCCCAGCUGUAAACGAUGCAGGCUAGGUGUUUGGGCGGCCACGUGCCGCUCUAGUGCCGCAAGGAAGCUGUUAAGCCUGCCGCCUGGGGAGUACGGCCGCAAGGCUGAAACUUAAAGGAAUUGGGCGGGGGAGCACCACAAGGGGUGAAGCUUGCGGUUU
rnacentral:rRNA from 1 species